rnacentral:rRNA from 1 species
CUUCUGUAGCGGUACCUGCGGAGGGAUCAUUACAGAGUUAUCCAACUCCCAAACCCAUGUGAACAUAUCUCUUUGUUGCCUCGGCGCAAGCUACCCGGGACCUCGCGCCCCGGGCGGCCCGCCGGCGGACAAACCAAACUCUGUUAUCUUCGUUGAUUAUCUGAGUGUCUUAUUUAAUAAGUCAAAACUUUCAACAACGGAUCUCUUGGUUCUGGCAUCGAUGAAGAACGCAGCGAAAUGCGAUAAGUAAUGUGAAUUGCAGAAUUCAGUGAAUCAUCGAAUCUUUGAACGCACAUUGCGCCCAUUAGUAUUCUAGUGGGCAUGCCUGUUCGAGCGUCAUUACAACCCCUAAGCACAGCUUAUUGUUGGGCGUCUACGUCUGUAGUGCCUCAAAGACAUUGGCGGAGCGGCAGCAGUCCUCUGAGCGUAGUAAUUCUUUAUCUCGCUUCUGUUAGGCGCUGCCCCCCCGGCCGUAAAACCCCCAAUUUUUUCUGGUUGACCUCGGAUCAGGUAGGAAUACCCGCUGAACUUAAGCAUAUCAAUAGGCCGGAGGAA